rnacentral:tRNA from 1 species
GGAUAUAUAGCUCAAAGGUAGAGCACCUCCCUGUCACGGUGGAUGCUGCGGGUUCGAAUCCCGUUAUAUCCG